CCAAAGGGUGGUUUUUUGGGUUCAUGUUUGUCUUGUUAAAAUGGUUUUAAAGUGACUUUUGGAACCCCUAAGUACCCUAGGAUAUUAACCCUCUUUUAUGUUGUGAAAAUUUGAGUUUUAAUGAGUGAAAACAUUCAUGGAGCUCUUAUGAGUUUUCAUGUGUGUUCUUCAAUGUUCUUGAGUUUCUUACCAAGAACAAAAAGGUUUGGAAUUUUGAUUCAAAGUGUUUGGUGUUUUUCAUAAAGUUUUGGUUUAUUUUUUAUGGGUGAUGGAUUAUUGGUGAGGAUGAUAAAUGCUAUUAAUGUUUCACAAAACAUUUCUCUUACAACCCAUCUCAUUCACCUUUAUCCUCACCCACCUAUUUCACUUGCAUAUUGCACAUGCAUGCACCACUUGCACAAAAUCCCUUUCACACUCCUUUUCACUCUAAAAACCGGCCAACCCCAAGUGGGGGGUAAUUUUGGGCCUUUUGUGCAAUUACAUAAAGUUUUGAUACUUUUGUGUUUUUGUAUUUUGGCCCAAAAGUUUACGUUUUUACGUUAAGGCCCAAAAACUCUAAAGGACAAAUUGUUUUGCUCCUUUAAUAAUGUUUUUACAUUAUUAAAAUUUUGGGUUCUAGUUGUAAUUACAUGAAGUUGUGGACUCUUGUGUUUUUACAAAGUGACCCCAAAAGUUUUUGUUUAUUAAAUAAUGGCCCAAUUGUUGAGGUCAUUGUUUUUGGCCCAAAUAAGAUGAGAACAAAAUGGUUUUGUCUCUUUAAAUGAGAAUUGGAUUUUCAUUUUAUUUAGUUCCAUUUAAAUCAAUUCUAUGAAUCUGAAAACCAAUUGUUUAAGUUGCUUUCUUAGUUAAUGUGAUUGAUUAAGAAAAGGGUGAUUAUGAACCAAAGGCCUCGAUAAUUGAGCUAUGUGAUUGGCCGCUUUACAUUAUGAAUGUUUGGGUUUAGUAGUGUAGAAUUGAAUGUAAUUUGAUUAGUUCAAAUUUGUUGUAAAUGGACAUAAGUCCAUCAUUUGUGUUGUAAAAGGGCAUAAGCCCUUCUUAUUAUUUCAUGUAUUCCUUUUUUGUUUAAAUGUAUGCAAAUUGGAAUAGUUGGGUCCAACGCCCAAUAGGAAAUAACGGUUUAAUUAGAUUAAACGCGUAA
rnacentral:lncRNA from 1 species